UACGGAGGGUGCAAGCGUUAUCCGGAUUUAUUGGGUUUAAAGGGUCCGUAGGCGGAUCUGUAAGUCAGUGGUGAAAUCUCAUAGCUUAACUAUGAAACUGCCAUUGAUACUGCCGGGCUUGAGUACAGACGAGGUUGGCGGAAUUGAUUGUGUAGCGGUGAAAUGCAUAGAUACAAUCAAGAACUCCGAUUGCGUAGGCAGCUAACUAGGCUGUAACUGACGCUGAGGCACGAAAGCGUGGGGAGCGAACAGG
rnacentral:rRNA from 1 species